GGUGAACGCUGGCGGCGUGCUUAAGACAUGCAAGUCGAACGGGCUCUUCGGAGCCAGUGGCGCACGGGUGAGUAACGCGUAACUGACCUACCCCAAAGUCGCGGAUAACGAUUCGAAAGAAUCGCUAAUACGUGAUGUGCCGUCAGAUCCUGUUCUGCCAGUAAAGAUUUAUUGCUUUGGGAUGGGGUUGCGUUCCAUCAGCUAGUUGGUGGGGUAAAGGCCCACUAAGGCGACGACGGAUCGCCGGCCUGAGAGGGUGGCCGGCCACAGGGGCACUGAGACACGAGUAGGACUCAGACGGGAUGCAGCCGUGAGGAGUCUGCGACAAUGGGCGCAGGCCAGAUGGCGACAGGCGGAGGGAGGAAUGAAGGGAAUCGGGUAGUAAACAUCUGAAGCAAGAGCGCAAGCCGCGACGGCGGGAGGACGGGAAGUGGGUAAUAGAACCGCAUAAGUCUGUA
rnacentral:rRNA from 1 species